rnacentral:lncRNA from 1 species
UUACAGAUCACUUUUCUCCAGAGAAUGCAAAUGACACGGCCAAGGAAACAUGCCUAAAUUGGUUUUUCAAGAUUGCCUCCAUCAGGGAACUCAUUCCAAGAUUUUACGUGGAGGCAUCCAUCCUGAAAUGUAACAAAUUCCUCUCCAAAACGGGAAUUUCAGAGUGCCUGCCCCGGUUGACAUGCAUGAUCAGAGGGAUCGGAGACCCACUGGUGUCGGUGUAUGCCCGUGCCUACCUGUGCCGGG